rnacentral:rRNA from 1 species
UACGUAGGGGGCUAGCGUUGUCCGGAAUCACUGGGCGUAAAGGGUUCGUAGGUGGUUUGUCGCGUCGUCUGUGAAAUUCCGGGGCUUAACUCCGGGCGUGCAGGCGAUACGGGCAUAACGUGAGUACUGUAGGGGAGACUGGAAUUCCUGGUGUAGCGGUGAAAUGCGCAGAUAACAGGAGGAACACCGGUGGCGAAGGCGGGUCUCUGGGCAGUAACUGACGCUGAGGAGCGAAAGCAUGGGGAGCGUACAGG